rnacentral:rRNA from 1 species
UAACACAUGCAAGUCGAGCGCACCUUCGGGUUAGUGGCGGACGGGUGAGUAACGCGUGAGAAUCUGCCCUCAGGAGGGGGACAACAGCUGGAAACGGCUGCUAAUACCCCAUAUGCCGCGAGGUGAAAUGAAUUUCGCCUGAGGAUGAGCUCGCGUCUGAUUAGCUAGUUGGUGUAGGUAAUGGCUCACCAAGGCAUCGAUCAGUAGCUGGUCUGAGAGGAUGAUCAGCCACACUGGGACUGAGACACGGCCCAGACUCCUACGGGAGGCAGCAGUGGGGAAUCUUGGACAAUGGGCGAAAGCCUGAUCCAGCAAUGCCGCGUGUGCGAUGAAGGCUUUCGGGUUGUAAAGCACUUUUGUCAGGGAAGAAAUGGUUCGGGCCAAUACCUCGGACUUCUGACGGUACCUGAAGAAUAAGCACCGGCUAACUACGUG